ensembl:lncRNA
GUGCAGUGCAAACAAAAGGGAGGAUUAACAGAGGCAGGGCAGCUUGGACGGGCUGAUUUUCCAGGGACAGACCCAAAUGAAGCAGGAGAGCUCUGCCCCCCUCCCUGAACCCUUCCCUCUCUCCAUUUCAGUGCAGGAGCUGUCCCUGGAGCUUCCAAGCCCAGAUCCAGCAGCAUCCUGCACCUGGGGCUCUCCCUUGCACCUCUGUGGUCCCAUCUCCCUCCAAGGAGGAGCCAGGGUCCCCCCAGACCCCUUAUUCACCCUGGGCCUCCUGCCAAGCAUCAGCUGCUCCACACACUCCUUCCCUGUGCUCCUGCCAGGGAGGAGAUGGAUGGGGUGCUCAGCCCUGGCAUUUGAACCUGGGGCUGGGAACCCAGCUGUCCCCAGCCCUUGCUCCAUGUGGGACAAUUCCAGCACCCUCGGCUGCUUUCUGAUUGUCUCAGCCACUUUGCCUUGUUGUUCUUGUUAAAGGCAGCUCUCAAUAAGUAGUUCACUAACUCAGCCAUUUGAGAAUCAUCAUUAAUUUAAUAUCCUCCUUCCUCAUUUAUUAAUGGGCCUACUUUGUCUUGACUCUCCAGUAUUUCCUUUUCCCCUUGAUAUAUUUGUAAAAGCCCUUCCUAUUCCCCUCAGCUGCAUGGCUACCACUAAUGUUUGCUUUUCCUGCUGUCUUUAACAUUUCUCUUCAACCUUAAAUGACUUGGGCUCCUCUGGCUUCUAUCAGCCCCCAUGCAGGGCUUUCCCAUUCCGUGCCAGAGCUGUCCUGCUGCGGGCCAGCCCCAGGAGGCAGCAGGGCCCUGCUGCUCUGGCAGCUCCUGCUGGAUCCUCAAAGAGCUCAGGGACUUGCUUUUGUCCUGAGAGAGGACAAAAUACCCACUGUGAGGGCUUCCAGAGAGACCCUGGGGACAGGGAUGAGCAGGGAGAGGCAGUGGGAGGCUGGGGAGGGUUCAGGGAUGCACCCCGAGGUCACUGCUCCCCCGACUGUGAGCCCAGCUGUGCCUUCGGGGCACUGCCACAUUCCUGGGCCCAGCACCAGCCCUGUGGGAGGAGUUCUUCAGGUCCCGGCUGUGCCUGUGGUGGCAGUCAGGCUGCUGAGCAGGGGGAAGUGCUGGAGAUGGGGGGUCCAGGAUCCAGCAAUGGAGAGGACCAUGAUCCCAUGACUGAGAAGUGCAGGAUCCAAUGCUGGAGAGGAGCAUGAUCCCAUGAUUGGGGUUCCAGGAUGCAGCAAUGGAGAGGAGCAUGAUCCCAUGAUUGGGAGGUCCAGGAUGCUUUGCUGGAGAGGAGCAUGAUCCCAUGAUUGAGAGAUCCAGGAUCCACUGCUGGAGAGGACCAUGAUCCCAUGACUGGGAGGUCCAGAAUCCAGCAAUGGAGACAACCAUGAUCCCAUGACUGGGAAGUCCAGGAUCCACUGCUGAAGAGGACCAUGAUCCCAUGAUUGUGGGAUCCAGGAUGCUUUGCUGGAGAGAUCCAUGAUCCCAUGAGUGGGGGGUUUAGGAUCCAGCAAUGGAGAGGAGCAUGAUCCCAUGAUGGGGGGGUCCAGGAUCCACUGCUGGAGAGGUUCAGAAUCAAAUUUUGUGGAAGGCCAGGAUUUAAUGAUGGGGAGAUUCAGGAUCCAACAAUCCAAAGGUCCAGGAUACACUGAUGGGGAGGUCAAUGAUCCCCCAAUAGGGAGGUCCGGGAUUCAGGGGUGGGGAGGCCCAGGAUCCAACGCUGAGAAGGUCCAGGGCCCUGAAGACUCCUUGUGGGAGGAAAAGGGAGCAGGCAAAAAGUUGCAGGCGGGGCUGUGCCCAGGUGGGAGCCCGGAGCACAUCCCGAGCCAGGGUCGGCUCUGUGCUGUUGCCAAGGUGACGGGAAGCAGAGCUCGGGAUGUGUCUGUUUACAUAAGAAUUGUUGAUUAAUGAACAUCGAGGCGAGAUAAUUUA